GGGCGCCACUGCCUCCCUGAAUACUCCCAUGUCCGAUGGCAAAGAAAUGAGAUUUCUCUUGGUUCAUGGUGGCAUGGAUACAGAGGGAGAAAUAUUUGAUGAUGCUCUUGUUUUAUUAACUGAACAACCAAAUUGAUAUAGAAUAAUGAUUUUUUUCAAUUCCAUUGAACUUUUAUUCAUAUUAGCACAUACCGUAAUAACAUAAGUUGCCAAAUUUUGUGAUAUAUUAUUUUACAGCAUAAAUGAACAAAUUUGAUAGUUGAUACAGUCACAAAAUACAUAUUUUGUAUUAGAUGAUUUGAUUUAGAAUAAAUUAUUCUUUUUAAAUCUCUAUUAUAAUAAUAGAGAUUUAAAAAGAAUAUAUAUUUC
rnacentral:misc_RNA from 1 species